rnacentral:tRNA from 1 species
ACUUUAUUAGUAUAAAAAAGUAUAGCUGUCUUCCAAACAGCAGGUUUAAGUUUUUAAAUAGAGUA